GGUUUGAGGAAACAUGGGUUUUGAUAAGAUUCGCCAACUCGCAAAGACUAUUAUCCUUGAAUGGAAGGAGUUGGUAGCAGAAACUCAAAGCUUUUGAUGCAGACGCAAGAAGUGAAAAGCUCCAGGACCUUAACAAGAAAAACUCAAAGCUCUUGAUGCAGACGCAAAGUUCCAGUUUGCUAAGAGGAAACUUCAAGCGAGCUACCAACAACAUGAGAACGGUUUGUUCCUUUACCUCUUGUAAUUUUUGACUGUGAACAUUUGUGUUUGCAGGUAGAUUCAGGCUGGGACAUUGAUGAAUAACUAUGCACAUAUAUUUGAUGCAAAACCUCUAAUAUAGGUUUGCCUCAGCAGGACCUCUAAAAGGAAUUCUCAGGUAUACAGAUGAAGAUGUUGUAUCUCUUCUUUUUCUUCAAAGUGAUAUGAAUAUCCUGAGUUUUGGCUUUGUG